rnacentral:rRNA from 1 species
AGUUUCGAAUCAUUCACAAUGGGCGAAAGCCUGAUGGUGCGACGCCGCGUGAGGGACGAAGGUCUUCGGAUUGUAAACCUCUGUCACUAGGGAAGAAAAACUAUAUUUUAAUAGACUAUAGUCUGACUUAACCUGGAGAGGAAGCAGUGGCUAACUCUGUGCCAGCAGCCGCGGUAAUACAGAGACUGCAAGCGUUAUUCGGAUUCACUGGGCGUAAAGGGUGCGCAGGCGGUUGUGUGUGUCAGGUGUGAAAUCUCGGAGCUUAACUCCGAAACUGCGCCUGAAACUACAUGACUAGAGCAUUGGAGAGGGAAGCGGAAUUCACGGUGUAGCAGUGAAAUGCGUAGAUAUCGUGAGGAACACCAGAGGCGAAGGCGGCUUCCUGGACAAUUGCUGACGCUCAGGCACGAAAGCGUGGGGAGCAAA